rnacentral:rRNA from 1 species
GACAGAGGUGCCGAGCGUUAGGCGGAAUCACUGGGCUUAAAGCGUGUGUAGGCGGAUCGUUAAGUACCUUGUGAAAUCCCCCGGCUCAACCGGGGAACUGCCGGGUAUACUGGCGAUCUUGAGCAAUCUAGGGGCAGAUGGAACAAGUGGUGGAGCGGUGAAAUGCGUAGAUAUCACUUGGAACGCCAAAGGUGAAGACAGUCUGCUGGGGAUUCGCUGACGCUGAGACACGAAAGCCAGGGGAGCGAACGGG